rnacentral:tRNA from 1 species
GAAGUGGCGGUUCAGUGGUAGAAUUCUUGCUUUCCAUGCGGGAGACCUGAGUUCGAUUCUUGGCCAGUGCA